CGGCCCCUUUGACCGAAACAGGACGCUUGCCUCGAUUCAGAUCGGCCCGCCGAUGGCGUCGACGGCGGCUUUCGAGAAGGAUUGCCGGAUGCCGGAGGAGGCAGAGGCCGAUGCGCUGCUGGUACAGAAGGUGGGCGUGCUGCCCUUCGGGUUCUACGACGCCUUCGUGCUCCGCGACAUCCGCGUCCACGCCGUCUGGCCCAGCCGCCUCCUCUGCCACUUCACCGUCACCACCCGCCUCCUCAACUCGGGCAACUUCCUGCAAGGGGCGUGACUGCAUUGUUGGUUUACUUGAUGGGCUCUGCUGUACACCGCUGGGUCACAAACCAGGGUCUCACCACUAGAGAUGAACAUCUACCUUGAUACUGCAUUUUCUGAUGUGAGUGACUAUCUUACUCAGUCGGAAUUGGAUGCGAAAUAAUACAUGUGGUGGUUCAUCAGCAUCACUUCUCAAGGUUGGUCUGUCAUGCUUAAAGCGGAUAUAGUGACUAGUUUGUUAUGUGCUUUGCAGGUUAGUCAUAUGGUUUGUAUAAUGGACCUAUAGCUCGUUCUUGUCUUUUUCAGGUUCAGAAAUCAGCGCAUUAUUAGUUGCUUCACUAUAUGCUUUGAUAUCCAGGUUACAACUAGGAUUUUCAUAUGUAUGUAUAUCACUUAUCACAUAGUAGAACAGUAUUCCUUUUUCUAGCAGAGGAGAAUAAUUUUCAGUGUUAAUUUGGUUGGGUACAGACCAUCAACCAAAAAAGCUCAAAACGUUUUGCCCAUAUAUAGAAUAACUCAAGUCUUGCUAGAACUAGAUAAGAAACAUACUAAUUAAUUGUUCGCAAAAACAGUUUCUUCUUUGUUGCAUAAGGACUGUGCAAGAAUUUGGAUUAAGACAUGUCUAAGCUACAGGAAAUAGUAUAAAAUGUUAUUUAGUCUAAAAUGAUUCACAUGCAAUUUUUUUCAUAUGUGCUACUAUCCUUUUGAGCAAAUUCAUUUAUAUGUACUACUAAUAAAUCAUUCCUGUC